rnacentral:lncRNA from 1 species
CAACAAGAAUCCCCAUCUUGGGGGAUCUCAAGAGUCUGCCUCAGCAGCAGGGAAGACUGUGGUACUAACCUUUCUAAUAAUCUAAUCUCUGCUCCACCUUUCUGAGUUCUACUACUGACCCUCAGAAGAGGUUCUCUGCCAAAUACAGAGAGCUCAAAGGCAAAAGUCAAAUUAAGAGUCCUGCCUUCCCAUCCAACUUACUGUUUCAGGUGGCUUCAAGGGAAGCUCCAGGUAAGCACAUUAAAUUGGGGGGUGAGGAGGCGAGGCUAAGCGCAGAAGCCAGGAAAUAACAGACCAAACACUUCAGGGCUGAGAAUUAAGAUGUGUCUAGGCUGGAUCUUCGGCUGUGAUUACCACAGCAGAACUGAUUAGAAGCCAAGAGAGCAGAAGCUUCUAGUUUUUUGACAGAACUGUGUUGCCAAAGAAACCACAGCUGAAUCUGAUAAAAGCUGGAGAUUAUUUGACUCCUACAGCUCCACUCAAGUCCCCAAACCCACACCAGCAGGAGGUGGUUUGUGAAAGCCAAGGAGCCCUAAAUAAAAGCACAUUCUUUCCAGUUCCGUUUCAGAUAAGGCCACAGAGAAUAAUGAACGUGGAAGCUCCACUUCCCAGAAAUCACGGAGGACCAGGUGGGCCGAGUAGAAGAAGGGAAGGCAAGAGAUGAAGCCCAGGACCACAUAACAAAGACCCUCAAGUGAAUGCCCAGCUUUGGAGUUUGGACUUGAUCCUAAGAGUUACAAGGGACCACAGAAAAUUUCAGAGCCAGUGAGUGCUGUGACCAGAUUGCACAAUCCCCUACCCUUUGGACAAAAUGGGCUGGUGACAGUCUCCUGCACACAGAAAGCCUCCAGGAGAAGUGCCCAAUUAAGAUGGAAAGUUCCUAAAUUGCUAUGUUAGUCACUGGAAACCCCAGGCCAGAUUGCUGGUCAGUGGGAAGUGAUGUCAGCUGGGUCAGCGGCUGCUUCUAGCAAUACAGAGAAGAGAACGGAUGGAAAAGGAAGGACCAUCUCCCCCCACGAAGCAUUGGUCAUCCACACACACUCCCAUCUUGGGAGGCAGCAUGACGUAAUGGGAAAACAGAAGCCCAGGGCCACCCCUCGUGGGUGGCAGCAGGAACUCAGCCACAGCCUGACUCUCUGUGGGCUGAACUUUCCUUACUCGUGAUGGUAAUACAAGAGAAACAGGAAUUAAACUCUAAGGUGCCUUCCAGCUUAGACAUUUUUGUUCCAUGACGGUGCCA